AUGCUGGCCUCCGGCUUCCAUGAGAUUGAAGACAUUGUUGAUGACUUCUUUCCCGGGCAUUCGCAGGCUGCCAUCCAAGCCAUCAAGGCAGAUCAUGAAGGUCGGAGGGCGGAAGGCGCAGAGAUCACCGCCGACGCUCCCCGAACCCUUGAUGAGCAUAUCCUGAGCAUCGAGGCUCGCCUUCGGCCGACUCACCGGAUGCUGCGCUGGCUUCAACAUGUCGGCGCCCAGGCGAUUGCCGCCCUGUGGUCGGACAUGCAGGCUCCACGCACCCCCGGUCAGACUACCGACUGGCUGGAGGUCGCGGCUGGUCGUCUUGAGGCCUGGACGGGUUCCUCGGCCCAAGCUGGAGCGCGCCGGGCCUUGGAGUUCGUCAAGGCGUGGUAUCCGGGGCUGGACUUAGACCAGCUGGCCACACUCCGGUCGGAGGCCCAGCCGGAGCUGGCAGCCACGGAAGACGCCCUCGUCAAGCGUGCUGUGGCGAUCGCCGAGUACACCGACACCAGCAUCUUCAUCCCUGAGCGGUCUGAAGACGGCGAGGAGGUACCGCCGGAGUGGUUUGGGAUGAACCCAGACUACGGCGAGGACUCGGCGGAGGUGAUCGGCUCCAGUGUCGAGGAGGAAGGCGAGGCGGAGGACGGAGGCGAUACGGAAGCACCAGAAGACGGAGCAGACGGCCAGCCUCAGCUCGACCGCGCCUCCAGCAACGAGCCGUGUGCGACCAAGCCGACUGCCGCCAGAGGCAAUCAAGCCAAGACUGCCCAGCCGGCCGCCCCAACGCCUGGCGCUGCCGCCUCUUUCGACCCUCCGAAUCCGUCUGCUGCUUCCUAA
rnacentral:rRNA from 1 species